AAUGGUAAAGACAGGACCAGGCUGUGUCUCUUCUCAAGCUUGAGUCCAAAUUUAACUCUGUCUCUGUUUGAUUACUUGUUUUUUGUCUCAUUUAAUAGAUGUCAACAGUGUUUGAACCGGACAUCUUCUUGGUCCUUCGAGGCGGAUUCCAACACGUCUGACGAUUCCAGCAAGAGUGAGUGAAACCAGAGACCAUGGCAUCCAAAUCCUGAUUGAGGAACUGCGUUUCUUCAUUUUGGCUGGAAUUGGACGACUGACGGAAUACCGAGGACAAAAGGAAGGAACGCAGAGUUCACGAUUAGCCCAGCAGACAAUAAAGCUGUUCAGACGCACUUUCUGGCGGACGACAGAGAAGAUGAAUCUGACGACGAGAAUACCUACCUGGAUGGUGUUCCUGAUUUAUUUCCAGAAAUGUCAUAAUAAAUAAAAAAAUACCGGACAAUUCUGCAAACUUCAUGGCUGGCUCACAUCGUGGUCACUCCGUGAUCACUUACGACCGCCAGACACUUCUGGAUGUGGACAGAUCGGGCCAUUUUGGACUGAUAGACGCAAAUACGGUGUUAGCUUUCACUGUUAUGCUGAUGACACCCAACUCUACAUGCCCCUAAAGCUGACCAACAUGCCGGAUUGUAGUCAGCUGGAGGCGUGUCUUAAUGAAAUUAAACAAUGGAUGUCCGCUAACUUUUUGCAACUUAACGCCAAAAAGACGGAAAUGCUGAUUAUCGGUCCUGCUAGACACUGACCUUUAUUUAAUAAUACAACUCUAACAUUUGACAACCAAACAAUUAAACAAGGCGACUCGGUAAAGAAUCUGGGUAUUAUCUUCGACCCAACUCUCUCCUUUGAGCCACACAUUAAAAGCGUUACUAAAACGCCCUUCUUUCAUCCCCGUAAUAUCGCUAAAAUUCGCUCCAUUCUGUCCACUAAAGACGCUGAGAUCAUUAUCCAUGCGUUUGUUACGUCUCGCCUCGACUACUGUAACGUAUUAUUUUCGGGUCUCCCCAUGUCUAGCAUUAAAAGAUUACAGUUGGUACAAAAUGUGGCUGUUACACUUUUGACAAGAACAAGAACGUUUGAUUAUAUUACGACUAUACUGUAUAUACCUUUUAUAUAGAGAUAUACAUAUAUAUAUAUAUAUAUGUUUAUACUGGCUCACCUGUACUGGCUUCCUGUGCACUUAAGAUGUGACUUUAAGGUUUUACUACUUACGUAUAAAAUACUACACGGUCUAGCUCCAGCCUAUCUUGCCGAUUGUAUUGUACCAUAUGUCCCGGCAAGAAAUCUGCGUUCAAAGGAUUCCGGCUUAUUAGUGAUUCCCAAAACCUCAAAAAAGUCUGCGGGCUAUAGAGCAUUUUCAAUUCAGGCUCCAGUACUCUGGAAUGCCCUCCCGGUAACAGUUCGAGAUGCCACCUCAGUAAAAGCAUUUAAGUCUCACCUUAAAACUCAUUUGUAUACUUUAGCCUUUAAAUAGACUCCCUUUUUAGACCAGUUGAUCUGCCAUUUCUUUUCUUUUUCUCCUCUGUCCCACUCUCCCUUGUGGAGGGGGUCUGGUCCAAUGGCCAUGGAUGACGUACUGGCUGUCCAGAGUCGGGACCCAGGAUGGACCGCUCGUCCAGAGUCGGGACCCGGGAUGGACCGCUUGCCUGUGUAUCGGCUUGGGACAUCUCUGCGCUGCUGAUCCGCCUCCGCUUGGGAUGGUUUCCUGCUGGCUCCACUGUGGACGGGACUCUCGCUGCUGUGUUGGAUCCACUAUGGAUUGAACUUUCAGAGUAUCAUGUUAGACCCGCUCGACAUCCAUUGCUUUCCUCCUCUCCAAGGUUCUCAUAGUCAUCAUAGUCACCGACGUCCCACUGGGUGUGAGUUUUCCUUGCCCUUAUGUGGGCCUACCGAGAAUGUCGUAGUGGUUUGUGCAGCCCUUUGAGACACUAGUGAUUUAGGGCUAUAUAAGUAAACAUUGAUUGAUUGAUUGAUAAUUAUGAGGGAAAAAUUGAUGUUCAAUUCUGAGUGUAAACAUAGCUUGUUUCAAGGGAAGUUAAACAAUAACUGAAAAUCGCAAGAAGAAGUUAUUAGGGAUACGAAGAUUAUGGGGAAUUUAUUUGAUAAACAGGGGGGAAUGUCAGAAGAAUUCAGUGUAAAUUAUCAAAUAAAACCUUGUAUUACAUUGUGUUCCUGACGAGAAGAAAAAAGGCUGGAGCUUUCCAAGAAGAAUGCUGGACUUCCAGGCGGACAGAUGGCAGAAUCUGCCCAACUUCCAGAGGAACUCUUUUAAGUAUUUUUACGAACCCUCUUUGAUCUAUUUUAUGGGACUUUCUUUGAUCUGUUCGGGAACCAAAGGCAAUGCUGGUCAUGACCCACUUCCAUGAGGAAGCAGCUGUGGGAAGGAGGGGGGUGAAAAUCAAAUAAAGAACCACGAGAACGAUCUUGGGGCAGAGCAUGGUGCAGGAUUUGUACAGGCAGUACAAUGGCCAUGCCUCUCCUCGGAUCCGAGUAUAAAUUGAAUUCUGUCUCUGUUUGAUUCUUUGCCUUUUUGUCCUGUUUAAUAGAUGUCAUCAAUGUUUGAACCUGACAGAUGGAGGUCUCGCAACUACGGUAAGCAGCUGCCAACUUCAUUUUCCCCCGUAGAAGAAGAAGUACGUUUGACACCCCUGAUGUAAAGGAUGCAUAACGUAACCCCAGCCUCUACUCAGUGGCCUAGUGGUUAGAGUGUCCGCCCUGGGAUCGAUAGGUUGUGAGUUCAAACCCCGGCUGACUCAUACUAUAGAAUAUAAAAAUGGGACUCAUUACCUCCCUGCUUGGCACUCAGCAUCAAGGGUUGGAAUUGGGGGUUAAAUCACCAAAAAUUAUUUCCGGGCGCGGCACCACUGCUGCCCACUGCUCCCCUCACCUCCCAGGGCGUGAUCAAGGGUGAUGAGUCAAAUGCAGAGAAUAAUUUCACCACACCAAGAGUGUGUGUGACAAUCAUUGCUACUUUAACUUUAACUUUACUGUUCCAUCUAUUCUAUGCACCUUAUAAUGCGGUGUGCUUUAUAUAUGAACAAAGUUUUAAAAUAGGCCAAUCAUUGAAGGUGCACCUUAUAAUCCGGUGCGCCUUAUAGUGCGGAAAAUACAGUAUAUCUCCAUCUUUAGUGAUAAAUGUGUCCCCCGGAUGAACAUGUGUCACAAACAUUGUAUUAGAUGAUAUGUGGAUGUUGUGCUUACUUGGACUGUGAUGAAGCUGUGAGGACUCAGGUGGUUUGUCUUCAUGCUCUUCAGUCUUCACAGAGACAACAGUCAGUGGAAACUUGCUGACAUCAGCCUCCUCCUGCCCUACAGGACACUCUCCCUCCUGACUGAUCCACACUUCCUCCUCUUCCUCUUUAAUGUGGGGGGGCUGUGGAUCCUCCUGCUGCUGAAGGGGACGUUCUUCUUGACGAGCGUUCAUCUGUUGGACGUCCGCAAGACAACACAAACAAACUUCAGCUCAGAUGUGUCAAAUGUUUUUUAGACCAUCAAAUAUAAUAUUUUCCAAGUGGACUGACACCACUUUGUGGUGAUGUUCUUCUACACGUGGAAUAAUCAUCAGUUAUUGAUUAUUAUGAAUUGUGUUAUUGAUCCUGUUUUCUGCAUUUACAUUAAUUACUGAUUAAAAAGUAACAACUUAUAGAAAA